GGAGGGGUGGCAGAGCGGUUGAAUGCGGCGGUCUCGAAAACCGUUUCGGGGCGUUAGCUCCGACGGGGGUUCGAAUCCCUCCCCCUCCG
rnacentral:tRNA from 1 species